rnacentral:rRNA from 1 species
CCCUUAGAUGUUCUGGGCCGCACGCGCGCUACACUGUUCGACGCAGCGAGUCUUAACCUUGACCGAAAGGUUUGGGUAAUCUUCAGCAAAGUCGAACGUGAUGGGGAUCGAUCAUUGCAAUUAUUGAUCGUGAACGAGGAAUUCCUAGUAAGUGCAAGUCAUCAGCUUGCGCUGAUUACGUCCCUGCCCUUUGUACACACCGCCCGUCGCUACUACCGAUUGAAUGGUUUAGUGAGAUCUCUGGAUUGACGCUGGCUAGGGGGCGACCCUUGGCCAGGCUGUCGAGAAACUGCUCAAACUUGACCAUUUAGAGGAAGUAAAAGUCGUAACA